rnacentral:rRNA from 1 species
AACGCUGGCGGCAGGCCUAAUACAUGCAAGUCGAGCGCAUUCUUCGGAAUGAGCGGCGGACGGGUGAGUAACGCGUGGGAAUAUGCCCUUCUCUAAGGAAUAGCCUCUGGAAACGGAGAGUAAUACCUUAUACGCCCUUCGGGGGAAAGAUUUAUCGGAGAAGGAUUAGCCCGCGUUAGAUUAGGUAGUUGGUGGGGUAAUGGCCUACCAAGCCUACGAUCUAUAGCUGGUUUGAGAGGAUGAUCAGCCACACUGGGACUGAGACACGGCCCAGACUCCUACGGGAGGCAGCAGUAGGGAAUCUUAGACAAUGGGGGAAACCCUGAUCUAGCCAUGCCGCGUGUGUGAUGAAGGCCCUAGGGUCGUAAAGCACUUUCGCCAGAGAUGAUAAUGACAGUAUCUGGUAAAGAAACCCCGGCUAACUCCGUGCCAGCAGCCGCGGUAAUACGGAGGGGGUUAGCGUUGUUCGGAAUUACUGGGCGUAAAGCGCACGUAGGCGGAUUAGUAAGUUAGAGGUGAAAUCCCAGGGCUCAACCCUGGAACUGCCUUUAAUACUGCUAGUCUUGAGUUCGAGAGAGGUAAGUGGAAUUCC